CACUUUGGUACUUGCUGCACAGAAUCCUGCCACUCCAGCUGGCUAGGUCGCUCUGGACUGGUGACAGAUUUCACUGUGACCCCGCAGUAAAUCAGUUAGGAGAUCUAACGUCAACCUGAAAGGCCAGAUUCCAACAUCAAGUGCAGAAGGAAUCCAGGUUUGACCCUCUGCCGUCUACAGAGAUGUGUGAGCACCCACCCAAGGCUACUUCCAGCCUCCAUGGGAGUUCUUGAAGCUCUUCUUUAUAUGUUUAACUCUGUUCUAGACCAUUCACUUCUGCAAAAUUUGAAAGUCCACACUCUGCAGCUCCAAAGGCCUGAGAUGGUCGGAGUAGAGCACGUGAUGCUCAUUUUGGACACAGAGGAUUAGAGACAUGAAGGGGAAAGAGAGGUGGGGAUUUUUCUCCUCCUGAGCAAGAAUCACUUUCAGAUGACUUUGUUUCUAGUUGCUGGCAGCUGUAGCCAGGAGCCAACCUGACAGCCACUUCUACCCAAACCUUCUCCCCACGAUGCUGCAUAUCAAUACAUGUUCAGUGUUCCAGGGAAAUCCCAGGGAGAGGGAGAGAGAGAGAGAGAGAGAGAGAGAGAGAGAGAGAGAGAGGCUGGAGGAGGGCAGCAAGUGCUGGGAACUGAGCUCAAGUCUUCUGUAACAACACCACGCCCUCUUAAAUUCUGAGCCACGCCUCCAGCCAGCUUCCCCACCUGUGAUCAUUCCAAGUCACAUUUCAUGGAUGGUUGUUUUCUCUGGCCCAGUGUGUUUUGUCUUCAAGAAGACUCGUGGAAGACUGUAAAAAGCACAGGUUUUUCAUAACUUUGAGAUCACCUCACUGGACUGAGUAAGUAAUCCCAGAAUUCUAAUUUGAAGCUGAUCAUUCAUAAAGCUGAAUCCAAGAAGGUACAUUCCUAGGAAAUGCUUUGGCAGUGUUUUGUCCUGAUCUGGCUCAGUCACUGUGGGAAAAACAGACUCAUUCUCUGCACUCAGAAGGGUUUCUCUAUAGUCGGAUAUAGAUGCUGAAUGAAGACACGUUUGGGGAAUUGCCUAGGUGAUAUGUCUCAUCUGUUUGCCUAAUGGAUGUAAGCAUUAAAGUCAUGGGAUAAAUCCAUGCCUAUGGAGGACCAAAGAGAUGUUUAGAUAAAUUGGAAAAAAAAAAAGGUUGGAGUGAUGCAAACAUACUGUGCUGGUUUGUUGACUGUUUCUCGGGUAGUAACCCACAACCAAUAGUUUCCUUGUUUUUGUGAAAUAUUUUUUACUAUCAGGUGUCAAUUCCCAAAUCACAGGUUUGAUUUUCCGUAUCACUCGGAUACCUGUGCAUCAGUACUCUGGGUGUUUGUUUUCUGGAUCCCUAGAAACACCUGCUGCCACUGAAGUCAGUCCCUGGUUCUCAGCCCCUUUGCAUCUGAAUUCACCCCAUGAGGUCUUUGUCCUCUAAGUGGGUCCUCAUUCUUUUCUUCUUCCAUUUUUUUCAUCUAAAAGUGGACCAGUGCAUGUAAUUCCAGCCUCCUUCCAUCACACACUGCCAAGCAGGUAUGUCUCUUUCAAGGUGAAAGCAUCCCUAAAGUGGAAUCUGUUUCAAGACCCCCAGUACCGAAGCAUCUCUAAAGUGGAAGGCAGUCAGAUACAUAUAUUCAAAGAAAGAAGCUGAUGAGAUGGGUUGUUUAUUACAGACCCUCUUUAGUUAUAAUGGUCUUCCUAUCAUCCUUCCCAAAUGGGGUCUGGGUGAGACUGCCUGGAUGAGGCUUUGAUUGAAUUUAUUUUAUUGGAUUUGUUUAUUUACUUAUUUAUCUUGAGGUAAGUUCUCACCCAUGUUGUCCUAGCUAGCCUGGAACUUGCUAUGUAGACCAGGCUGGCCUUGAACUUUUGGAAAUCUGUCUGCCUCUGCCUCUGCCUCUGCCUCCUGAGUGCUGGGACUAAAAGCAGGGGAGGAAAAAGUCCAGCCCCUUCAUGGACUUAUUUUUAAUCAAGUAUCCUAGAACAUGUUGCCAACUUGGUCCAAUCACAAUGAAAAUCAACUCUUAUCUCAGACCAUUUUUAAAGAGAAAUUCUUUAUUUUGUUUUGUGAGGAUGGUAUAAUAUCUAUGAAUUGACUUCAUAAUAACCAUGGAGUACCAAGGAAGCCACCCUGGAGAAGGCUGAACAGGGAAGUGGAGAGAGGGAGAAAGAGAGAGAGAAGAGAAAUUGAGCCAGGGCCCCAGUCAAAUACAUUAAAACUCUAUUGUGUCUCACAUUUCAGCCAUGAAAUUAUUAUAUUUAUUCAAACAAA